rnacentral:sRNA from 1 species
CCACGGGACGGCCCGUGGCGCCGCACCACCCGGCGGGACGGCCCGCC